AGAGUUUGAACAUGGCUCAGGAUGAACGCUAGCUACAGGCUUAACACAUGCAAGUCGAGGGGCAGCAUGGUCUUAGCUUGCUAAGGCCGAUGGCGACCGGCGCACGGGUGAGUAACGCGUAUCCAACCUUCCCUAUAGUAGGGGAUAGCCCGUAGAAAUGCGGAUUAAUACCCUAUGUUGUAUUUUGAUGACAUCAGAUGAAUACCAAAGGUUUACCGCUAUAGGAUGGGGAUGCGUCUGAUUAGGUAGUCGGCGGGGUAACGGCCCACCGAGCCAUCGAUCAGUAGGGGUUCUGAGAGGAAGGUCCCCCACAUUGGUACUGAGACACGGACCAGACUCC
rnacentral:rRNA from 1 species